rfam:Triticum aestivum genome assembly, contig: Triticum_aestivum_CS42_TGACv1_scaffold_001323_1AL
AACAUACUCCCUCCGUCCCGAAUUACUUGUCGCAGAAAUGGAUAGAAAUGGGAUGUAUCUAGAACUAAAAAUACAUCUAGAUACAUCCAUUUCUGCGACAAGUAAAUUCCGGACAGAGGUAGUAUGUA